UCCAAUCUCCCACCACCAUGAAGGCUUUCCUUGUAUGCUUUCUCUUGGUUUCAGUCCUUCUCUUUCCCUCUUGCGUUAGUGCUCGAGAGCUGAUUCAAAAUGAAGAAAUGAGUAGCGAUAAGGUGGGCGUUAUAACAGGGAAUUAACCUGAUCCACCAUCUAAAAGCAAGUGCAAUCCGGCCCGAAGUAAGGGGUGUGAAAAAAAGGGAAGUACACACAGCCCACGCAACCCACCAGGCCCUUGAAACUGAGAAGAAGCUCAACGGGCAUUCUAUAUAAUGCUUAGUAUGUAAUGAAGGAGGUUGAUUUGGAGUUUGUGGUUUCUUGGGGUUGAAGAAUAAUAUAUAUAGCUUGGCGCAUGUGACAUACGUAUGGGUUGAUUUGGAGUUUGUGGUUUCGAGUGUUGGAUAUAUAAUCCAGAAGUACAAUGUGUAUUGGGAGUUUGCUUAAUUAAUAAUAGAGCUGACUUAGGUCAGUCUCCAUGAGAAAGUAUGUUGUGUUUCUUCUUUGCUGAUGAUUUAUUCCCAAUUGGGGAACUACUCCAUCAUCAACUGAUAAUGCUUCUAGUGAACCAUAUCUUCAUCGUC